rnacentral:rRNA from 1 species
AGUUGGUAGGGUAAUGGCCUACCAAGGCGACGAUGGAUAGCCGGCCUGAGAGGGUGAACGGCCACAAGGGGACUGAGACACGGCCCUUACUCCUACGGGAGGCAGCAGUGGGGAAUAUUGGACAAUGGACCAAAAGUCUGAUCCAGCAAUUCUGUGUGCACGAUGAAGGUCUUCGGAUUGUAAAGUGCUUUCAGGUGGGAAGAAGAAAGUGACGGUACCACCAGAAGAAGCGACGGCUAAAUACGUGCCACCAGCCGCGGUAAUACGUAUGUCGCAAGCGUUAUCCGGAAUUAUUGGGCGUAAAGCGAGUCUAGGCGGCUUGUUAAGUCAGAUGUGAAAAUGCGGGGCUCAACUCCGUAUUGCGUUUGAAACUGGCAGGCUAGAGUACUGGAGAGGUGGGCGGAACUACAAGUGUAGAGGUGAAAUUCGUAGAUAUUUGUAGGAAUGCCGAUAGUGAAGACAGCUCACUGGACAGAUACUGACGCUAAAGCUCGAAAGCGUGGGGAGCGAACAGGAUUAGAUACCCUGGUAGUCCACGCCGUAAACGAUGUUCACUGUGUAGGGGGUCGAACCUCUGUGCCGAAGCUAACGCGAUAAGUGAACCGCCUGGGGAGUACGCACGCAAGUGUGAAACUCAAAGGAAUUGACGGGGACCCGCACAAGCGGUGGAGCAUGUGGUUUAAUUCGACGCAACGCGAGGAACCUUACCAGCACUUGACAUACAACGAACUCGUCAGAGAUAACUUGGUGCCGCUUCGGUGGAACGUUGAUACAGGUGGUGCAUGGCUGUCGUCAGCUCGUGUCGUGAGAUGUUGGGUUAAGUCCCGCAACGAGCGCAACCCCUAUCGUAUGUUACCAUCAUUAAGUUGGGGACUCAUGCGAGACUGCCUGCGACGAGCAGGAGGAAGGUGGGGAUGACGUCAAGUCAUCAUGCCCCUUAUGUGCUGGGCUACACACGUGCUACAAUGGUUGGUACAGAGAGCAGCAAUACGGCGACGUGGAGCAAAUCUCAGAAAGCCAAUCUUAGUUCGGAUCGCAGUCUGCAACUCGACUGCGUGAAGUUGGAAUCGCUAGUAAUCGCGAAUCAGCAAUGUCGCGGUGAAUACGUUCUCGGGUCUUGUACACACCGCCCGUCACACCACGAGAGUUGGUUGCACCUAAAGUAGCAGGCCUAACCAUUUAUGGAGGGAUGUUCCUAAGGUGUGAUUAGCGAUUGGGGUGAAGUCGGAACAAGGUAUCCGUACCGGAAGGUGCGGAUG